AUUCCUUUCUUAACUUCUUGGCUAAGAUCGAGCGUAGUGUCUGGUUUUAUUAGUUAAAUAUGUGAUGGAAUGCUCAUCAAGUUUCAUUUAUUAUUUUUUCAUUUUUCAUUUUUUUCAUUUGCGAGUGGAGAUCGAUUCGGCAGCUUGCCGCUGGGUUUCACGAACAUCGUAUUGAUAUUUCAUUACAUCCGUGGUGCGGCCCUC
rnacentral:snRNA from 1 species